CUUGUAGCUUAGCCUGGAUAGAGCGUUCGGCUACGAACCGGAAGGUCGGGGGUUCGAAUCCCUCCAAGUG
rnacentral:tRNA from 1 species